UGCGUAGGCGGAUUAAUAAGUCAGUGGUGAAAACCUGCAGCUUAACUGUAGAACUGCCAUUGAUACUGUUAGUCUUGAGUACGGUCAAGGUAGGCUGAAUGUGUAAUGUAGCGGUGAAAUGCUUAGAUAUUACACAGAACACCGAUUGCGAAGGCAGCUUACUGGACCAUUACUGACGCUGAGGCACGAAAGCGUGGGGAGCGAACAGGAUUAGAUACCCUGGUAGUCC
rnacentral:rRNA from 1 species